UUUUGCUUUGUUUGAUAAAGGGAAUCCCCACUAGUGGGUGAAGCCAACGAGAAGCGUGAAUUAGGGUUAGGUGGGAAUAUAAAGAGGGGAAUAUGGGGAGUGAAACGUGGAGAUGACGCGGCCGAUGUUGGAACGGGGAAAGUCACAGGCGUGGGUGGCUGGGAAAGAGAUCAUCAGAGAAUCUCUCUCCUUCGCAACUUCUCUUUCCUAUGCCUCCCAUGCCCCUGCCUUUCCCUUUCCCCUUCCCUCUUCUUCUUCUUCGUCAGAUCUGAAUGUUUGUUCGCUGGCGGCUCCUUCUCCUGUCACUGCGAAUCGUCUGGUCCUUUAUAAAUAUGAACCAUAUUUCUUGGGCGAAGCAUAAUACUUGCUCCUGCAAAAAAUUUUCCCGACUGGAUCAUACUCAAUCUGCUUUAAAACGGAAAGAUCCAAUGUUAAAUUGUUAAUAUUGCCGAAGGUUUUGCUAUGAACGGGAAGACUCAAUUUAUUCGUAGUCUGUGUGAAUGACGUGUUAAGCUAGUAAACAACAUUAAAGAGGUGAACUGUAAUUCCCCAAAAAAAAGAAGGUAAAAUAUAAUUUUAUC